AUUGAACGCUGGCGGCAGGCCUAACACAUGCAAGUCGAACGAGUGGCGGACGGGUGAGUAAUGUAUGGGGAUCUGGCUAAUAGAGGGGGAUAACUACGGGAAACGGUGGCUAAUACCGCUUAACCUCGGAUGAGCCCAAGUGGGAGUAGGUAGUUGGUGGGGUAAAGGCUCACCAAGCCGACGAGCUCUACCUGGUCUGAGAGGAUGACCAGCCACACUGGGACUGAGACACGGCCCAGACUCCUACGGGAGGCAGCAGUGGGGAAUAUUGGGCAAUGGGCGAAAGCCGUAUGCAGCCAUGCCGCGUGAAUGAAGAAGGCCUUCGGGUUGUAAAGUUCUUUCGGCAGAGAGGCGGUAACUACAGAAGAAGCACCGGCUAACUCCGUGCCAGCAGCCGCGGUAAUAC
rnacentral:rRNA from 1 species